GUAUAAUACCUUUACAAAUCUAACGAUUAAUAAAUUGAUUUACACUCACCAAUACGAUGAUCCAUAAUGAAAAAUUUGAGGUAGACGUAAUGUGUGCACGCGAUGUGGUAACGUCCUCGUGGGCUUGAGAUAAACACUACGAAUGCGGCGGGUUCUCGUAGCGUGUGCGCCAGCGUCAGUAAGAUUGACAGUCGGCGCUGAUGACAGACAGGUGCGCCCGCCUUCCGGCCUAACAAGUCGGCAACCUACCGUUCUGCUUACGUAUCUUUCUCUGUUCGUUCGCAUACCCGUCUACCCGCUUUCCCGUCUACCCGCCAAGAUCCUUAGCACGUUAUGCCAUUUAUCCUCUCUUUUAACAUUUUCCUGCCAUCUAGUGACGAUUGACCCAAAACAUGCAUAUGCCAUCUAAUUGUACACAUCUUCUUUUUCCACUCAUUUCAAAUAAAUAGUUCAUGUAUCUAUUCAUAUUCAUAUUUAUUCCAAAUAAAUAGUAAUAUUCA